GUGGGGAAUAUUGGACAAUGGGCGAAAGCCUGAUCCAGCCAUGCCGCGUGUGUGAAGAAGGCCUUCUGGUUGUAAAGCACUUUAAGCGAGGAGGAAAGGUUGAAGGUUAAUACCCUUUAGCUGUGACGUUACUCGCAGAAUAAGCACCGGCAAACUUCGUGCCAGCAGCCGCGGUAAUACGAAGGGUGCAAGCGUUAAUCGGAAUUACUGGGCGUAAAGCGCGCGUAGGUGGUUAAGUAAGCGAUCUGUGAAAGCCCCGGGCUCAACCUGGGAAUUGCAGGUCGAACUGCUUGGCUAGAGUAUGGUAGAGGGGUGUGGAAUUCCAGGUGUAGCGGUGAAAUGCGUAGAUAUCUGGAGGAACAUCAGUGGCGAAGGCGACACCCUGGACCGAUACUGACACUGAGGUGCGAAAGCGUGGGUAGCGAACAGGAUUAGAAACCCGAGUAGUCU
rnacentral:rRNA from 1 species